rnacentral:rRNA from 1 species
GACGAACGCUGGCGGCGUGCUUAACACAUGCAAGUCGAACGGAAAGGCCCUGCUUUUGUGGGGUGCUCGAGUGGCGAACGGGUGAGUAACACGUGAGUAACCUGCCCUUGACUUUGGGAUAACUUCAGGAAACUGGUGCUAAUACCGGAUAGGAGCUCCUGCUGCAUGGUGGGGGUUGGUAAGUUUCGGCGGUUGGGGAUGGAAUCGCGGCUUAUCAGCUUGUUGGUGGGGUAGUGGCUUACCAAGGCUUUGACGGGUAGCCGGCCUGAGAGGGUGACCGGCCACAUUGGGACUGAGAUACGGCACAGACUACUACGGGAGGGAGCAGUGGGGAAUAUUGCACAAUGGGCGGAAGCCUGAUGCAGCAAAGCCGCGUGCGGGAUGACGGCAUUCGGGUUGUAAACCGCUUUCGCCUGUGACGAAGCGUGAGUGACGGUAAUGGGUAAAGAAGCACCGGCUAACUACGUG